rnacentral:piRNA from 1 species
UCUAUCCCGUGCAAUGAGACUAGCCUCGU